UAUCAAUAUAUCAAUUAAAAAGAUUGAGCAUAUAAGAAGAGAUAAUAGUGUAAGAUGGGUUUGCAAACACUAGCUGAGCUACUCCUUUGUAGGCAAAAAGAAAAAGGAAUAUUGGAGAAAAAAAGAAAAAAAAGGGUGUGUGUCGAGUGUGAAGGCAGUAUGUAUGACUUGAAAAAGGAAACGGCACACUCGGUUCCGACGAGCAAGGGGAAAUCAGUUACAAAUUCAACCGAUUGAAAAGAGAAAUUACUUAUUUUUACUCUUCCCCAAAAAAUAUACUAGGCGUAGUAAAAAGCGCUAUACUUUUGACUACGUUGUAUGUAUAUGUAUAUGUGUAUAUAAUACAGAUGAGCAAGUUUAUGUGGAUGCAGAUAUAUAGGGAUAUAUGUACACAGACAAACUACCUUUUUCCUAGACGAGAAAAACUAAACGUUGAAACGCCAGAAGAGGCGAGUUUAAUAUGUGGGAAACUGAGACUAGCGCUUCAAUGAUGUGGAAAUCUGUUCCUUAUCUAAGAAGCGACGGUUUCGUUUACACGUAUCGACACGAUAAUACCGUAGCGAUGUUACGCAAGUGUGUAUCCACCAUAUCAACCAACAAACGUCUGCAAGAGGCAAAAACUGACGGUUCGCUGACAACGAGUUCUCCCAUAAAAGAAAUGUGAUGAUGUUGGAGUAAGCCGAUGUCACUGUAACACUCAUCACGUGGCGAUUGGGAAGACAGCACUUCCACCGUUUAUGUAAGAUUAGAAAAAAGACGCGAUCGAGAUUGUAGUGCUGUAAAUUGGUAUGCCAAAGUAGAAAAAACAGAGAGCAGGUCGUUUUUUGUUACAAAAAAAAAAGAAAAAGAUGGAAAUUUACGGCUUUAUUGAUUGAUGAAUAGUUUAAGAGAAACUCAUUUUAUUUUAUUGAUGAGUUUUCAAUUUUUUGCUAAAAGUAACCUACGGGAUAAUCCGAGUGUGAAGAGGAUGUGUAGCAAAUUUUUACCUACAUUCAAUCCCGUAUGCUUUGGCGGGGAGAGGGGAGAGAUAAAGGAUGAUUAUUGGUCAAGGUGAAUAAGAAAGAAAAAAACUUGCUGCAGCAGCGACAACGUUCAAGUUAAGCGUAAACCAAUGUAGCUUGGCAGAUAGAAAUGAAAAAGAAGAGGAAGAAAAAAAAAAGGCUAUAGAACUGGAGCAUAUGGUUUGAGGAUAAGGAAUGUGUAUUCCAAACUGAGAGACAUAGUUAUAAGUAUGAUUCUUUGUUUAUUUUAUAAACCAUGAAAAACUAGAACUUUUAUUAUCUGCUACAAUGGUUUUUCUAAUUCUAUUUGUUUACCAUAUGGUGGUGGUGAUGGAUGAUCAGACAAGAUAUUGAUUGAUAUCGUACAUUGGGGGUAAAGAGGAAAUUUUGCUAUUGAAUCUCGCUCCCAUUUUUCGUUUGUAA